UACAGAGGUCUCAAGCGUUGUUCGGAUUCAUUGGGCGUAAAGGGUGCGUAGGUGGCGCCGUAAGUCGGGUGUGAAAUUUCGGAGCUUAACUCCGAAACUGCAUUCGAUACUGCGGUGCUUGAGGACUGGAGAGGAGACUGGAAUUCCUGGUGUAGCAGUGAAAUGCGUAGAUAUCAGGAGGAAUACCGAUGGCGAAGGCAGGUCUCUGGGCUGACACUGACGCUCAUGCACGAAAGCGUGGGGAGCAAACAGGAUUGAGAA
rnacentral:rRNA from 1 species